rnacentral:rRNA from 1 species
CCGCCUGGGGAGUACGGUCGCAAGACCGAAACUCAAAGGAAUUGACAGGGGCCCGCACAAGCGGUGGAGCAUGUGGUUUAAUUCGAUGCAACGCGAAGAACCUUACCUACUCUUGACAUCCACGGAAUUCGGCAGAGAUGCCUUAGUGCCUUCGGGAACCGUGAGACAGGUGCUGCGUGGCUGUCGUCAGCUCGUGUUGUGAAAUGUUGGGUUAAGUCCCGCAACGAGCGCAACCCUUAUCCUUUGUUGCCAGCGAGUCAUGUCGGGAACUCAAAGGAGACUGCCGGUGAUAAACCGGAGGAAGGUGGGGAUGACGUCAAGUCAUCAUGGCCCUUACGAGUAGGGCUACACACGUGCUACAAUGGCGCAUACAAAGAGAAGCGACCUCGCGAGAGCAAGCGGACCUCACAAAGUGCGUCGUAGUCCGGAUCGGAGUCUGCAACUCGACUCCGUGAAGUCGGAAUCGCUAGUAAUCGUGGAUCAGAAUGCCACGGUGAAAUACGUUUCCCGGGCCUUGUACACACCGCCCGUCACACCAUGGGAGUUGGUUGCAAAAGAAGUAGGUAGCUUAACCUUCGGGAGGGCGCUUACCACUUUGUGAUUCAUGACUGGGGUGAAGUCGUAACAAG